AAGCCUCCUCCUCCCCUGCUACUUCCCACAGACAACUCUGAACAGGCUGUGGGCAGCACUACUUCCUUCUACCUGAGGGCAGAACACAUAUGGGAGGAAAGCAAAAUGGCAGGAUCCAGGAGAGGGAGCAACCAGAGCAACGAGUACCCAGGGUAAAACCAGGAAAUGCCUACCCACAAGACCCACAGAAAAAGCAAUGGUGUGAUCUUAUUCUUCCUUAAAAUAACUUGCAAGUCUGUUGGUUUGUGGCAUUGCUGUUUAAUAGUACAGAGCAUUAUUACAGAAAAACAGCAUAAACCAAACAGUUUUCAUAAAGGAAAAAAAAGACA